ACCAGGCGCAGGUGUCCUGCAAUGAGCAUUAACUGUUCCCGUGCUGGAGGAGCCAAGGGUAUCCCCAGGAUGGCUGCUCAGUUUCAACGGGGGCAUGAAGGUGUUCGGAAACAUCUGGACGUGGGGCACUGGCUGGAAGGUAUGUAUCCUGGGAAAGAAACUGCUUCCAGAUGUGCUUGGGCAACAUGCCAUUGAAGGGUAAACUCAGUCCAUGUUACUGCCUUGCUUUACAAGGUUCAGAAGAUGUCUGCUUGCAGGGGAGCCUGACGUGCCUGUGGGUGGGGGUCUGGGUGCGGGGCAGUGCCUGCAGAUGUGCAUGUGUGUUUGCUGUGGGUAACUGUGGUUUGCGGUUAGAGAGAGUGUCCCGUUACUUUCUGUUGUACAAGCCAAGUUAUUCAGUUCCUCACAUGGAAUGUUUCCUCCAGAUGUGGCCUUUGUGGCACUGGAGAGCAGGCAGGCUGUUUGUGGGUAGCUGUGCUCCAUGUGUGUAACUGCUAGCCAUGAUCUGGGAUUCAUUCUGUGGAGGGAGCAUGGUGCAGCGCCCCAGGAGAAGGUGUUAGCAGGGAGAGCCAGCCUUGCUCCGCCUGUGGCACAAUGUUCUUCCCUUUCUCCAUGACUACUUAGGACUCCAGGAAGGGAGAAAGUGAUGGCAGCAUCCUCCCCACCCUGGGCGUCCUGCACAGGAGCCGGGCGUUGCACCCUGCUCCGGUGGGAACACCCAGGCUGCCUGUCAGUGCUCUCCUUCCCUCCCAUCCAGCCUCAAGCACGCGGAAGCAGAGCCUGCUGCUGCUGAACGCGGUACCCAGGGGAUGGAUCCUUCUCUCCGUGCUUUUGUGGGGGAUUUGAGAUGAAGAGAGAAGACAUGGAAAUGAUUUUUAUCUCACUUUCAAGUCUCCAUCGGGUUGCUGGUGGUUCCAACUCCCAGCAGGUCACUGUGAUUUCGGGUCCUGUGUUCCUCGCUCCUCACAGAGCUUCCUGGGAUCCAGCCCAGCGGCACUGAUGGUAGCCUCUGCUCCUUCAUCCCUCGUGGACCCAGGCAGGAAGAGACAGAGCUGACAGCUCUGCAAGGCGAGGAGGAGGCAGGAGAAGCAGCAGCAGCUCCCAGGUCAUCAUCACUUUGUCAAAAUCAGCAGGAGCCCCUGAGGGCCUUGAGAUCAGAGCAGCUAAACCAGGGAUUUCUGUUCACACCACUGGGGCUGGAACUUGCCCUGGCUGAGAUGUCUGCUGGGGGGUGUCCUGGGCCUAAGCCCCAUCCCAGCACCAUCCCACUGGUGGGAUGGAACCAGCCCAAGUGAGGGCACCUCCUCCGUAUGUUUUUAAACCAAAGGUGGCUUCUGGAAUCAAUAGAGAAGGUGAUUCCUCCACAGCCUGGGGAAUCCUGACCGCAUUCCUCCCUGAGACCUUCAAAGGAGCCUGAGGAAUGCAAUUCCCACUAAUUUGCUUUGAAAAUACCAACUUAAAAUCACCAUUCUGGCAUGCUGGGAGGAAGGAUCAGACCGGACUGUAGCUUUGCUGAGACAACAGUUUUGAUGAUUUAUUAAGACUUACAUUCUGAACAGCAUUAUCUUGGUUAAUGUUAAGAUGCUCCUGCGAUUAAUGAGAAUGUCAUACACUGACUGGGGAAGAAAGAGCCCAUUUUAUGUCCCCAACCAGAUGGCCCAGACCAGCUGCUCACUUUUCUUCUUUGAACUGUGAUUCUAAUGACUUCUGUGUCCUUUGAAGUCUGCUUCUGAGCUGCUGAACCAGAUGUAUUUGCAUGACAGUAGCAGAGUUUUAACAGUCGAGGAUUUGUGCUGUUUUCCCUCAUACUCCACCUCAUUUGCUCUCCUCUGGGGGUUUGGAAGGGUGAGGAAACAUAAAAUGUACCUUGGUGUAGCAUCACCAGCUGCAGUGGAGUAAUUCCCUAGACCUGCAGCAUCUGGGCUCUGAUUGUAAACCCAGCUCUGGGCUGGUUUCUAAACCCAUGAGCAGUGUCAGUCUGCUUUCAGUCAUGGAUUUCUGAGGGCAUCACAAAAGCAGGAGCUGCUGUCAGAACACACAUUGCAGCACCGCUUUGAAAACAGGACAAGGAAAAAGGAAUAUGUGUUAAGAAGGUCUAAAAAGAAUAAACCACAAAAUAAAUCGGUGACAAAAGGAACACCCCCCAAAGUGUGGGUUUGGUGGAAUUUUGUGCCAAAUAGAGAAGUUGGGAAGGCAACGCUGACAUUCCUGGCUUUCAGACUUCAAUCCCAACGCAGCCCUGCCUGAGUCCAUCCCCAGAUGCUGCCUCCCACAGCACUUAGAGGCUAUGAAGCAGCUGUGCUGCCCAGAGCAGUGGCUGGGCUGAGAUGGCAGAGAGCGCUCUAAAAUCAUCCUUGCACAAUAUUAACACGCUUAAGGGUGUCUCUUUGCUACUUGUUUUGCUGUGACUGCCUCAGAGGUCUGUUGGAACAAAUAAUAAAUGGAAUGGUAAAGGUAAGAAGCACAGCAAUUAGAACCAGACAGCCCCAGGGCAAAGAAGAAAGCCAAGGCCACAGCGCUGGUGGCACAGCAUGUACUUUCCCUACUCGGGGUGCUCAGUCUGAUAAGGAGAUGAAGGGAAGGUAAAGUGAGGUGAACCAGGGGUAAGAGCCUCUCGAGUGAGGUUCCAGACCUUGGCUUUGCCUGCCUGUGCCAUGGAAGGAGAGGACACCAUGCCCUGGUCCUGCAGCUCUCCUGCUCCGUCCUGGCUGAUGCAGAUCCCUGUGUUGGCGCUG